rnacentral:rRNA from 1 species
UUGGAGGGCAAGUCUGGUGCCAGCAGCCGCGGUAAUUCCAGCUCCAAUAGCGUAUAUUAAAGUUGUUGCAGUUAAAAAGCUCGUAGUUGAAUUUCGGGAUUAGUACGCUGGUCGUGCCUUCGGUACGUACUGGUGUUACUGAUUUCUACCUUCUGACGAACCAUCAUGUCAUUAAUUUGGUGUGGUGGGGAAUCAGGACUGUUACUUUGAAAAAAUUAGAGUGUUUAAAGCAGGCUCGCGCUUGAAUACAUUAGCAUGGAAUAAUGAAAUAGGACGUUGAUCCUAUUUUGUUGGUUUCUAGGAUUGACGUAAUGAUUAAUAGGGAUAGUUGGGGGCAUUAGUAUUCAAUUGUCAGAGGUGAAAUUCUUGGAUUUAUUGAAGACUAACUACUGCGAAAGCAUUUGCCAAGGAUGUUUUCAUUAAUCAAGAACGAAAGUUAGGGGAUCGAAGACGAUCAGAUACCGUCGCAGUCUUAACCAUAAACUAUGCCGACUAGGGAUCGGAUGAUGUUAUUUUUAAUGACUCAUUCGGCGCCUUACGGGAAAC